ACUGCCCAGGUCAAGUUUUUCACAGACAACGAUAUCGCGUGGUCCAACUUGGUGACCAUGAUGAUAGAUUCCUGUGCGGUGAUGCGAGGCAGCAAGACAGGCCUGGAAACCAGAGUGCAACACAACCACUGCCGAAAGCUUCUAGAUAUCGAUGGGGACUCGUGCCAUCACAUUCAUAAUGCGUCAAAGAGAUUUUCCAGUCCUUUCAAGGGUCAUCUAGAACAGCUCUUCAGUGACCUUCAUGUUGGUCAGAAGUGGGCUUCUGACCAGGUAAAUUCAUACUUAAUUGUAGAGCAGUUGUAUAGCUCUUUUCCACCUUGACAGCACUCAAUGGCCUCUUAUUCACCCAUUCACUCACACUCACAGACCAAUGGCAGCAGCUGCCAUGCAGCUAGCCUGCUCAAUAGGAGCAAUUUGGGUUUCAGUCUCUUGCCCAAGGACAUUUUCACAUGUGGGCAUGAGGAGACAGGAUUUGAACCACUGACACGUUGGUCAUUUGAUGGCCAUUAGAUGUCCUUAUUAUUGUCCUCUGAUUCAUGAAUAUUAUAUGGGACUGAAUCAUAACUUGAGGCAUGUGUUCUGUUUGUCAGCGGGCUUACCUCUGUGAAUAAAUGAGCAUUCCUGGAUCAACUUUAAAGAGAUUUGUCCAGCAUCGUUGGAAGUAAUUUUAAGAUGUUAGAUUCAGCACUCAGACAAUGCUUCCUGCUUACAAGGUCCUGUACUUUGGAUUAAUGGAUAAAGACAAGGCUCUCUACAAAUAACCUUUCGAACAACUCUAUGCUUCUCACCAUGUGAAUGAAAAGGCCCAGAGACCCAUUUAGUCUUUUCACAAGGACCCCAGUGGGAAAGGAAUGACACAGCAGGGCAGAGACCGAAAGCAGCGGUUGGUCAAGAAACUGUGGCAUGAAGACACCAAAACAGAGCUCCAUCUCAGUGUCUACACAGGUGUCUUGGCUAUUCAGAAAGAAUACGUCAUGGCGUUCAAGGUAUAUUGAAACACUGUUCCACAACUAUGGUGUAUCAUAAAGCUUGGAUAGUUUUAAAUGCUACCCCAGAGGAAUUGUAAUAUCUUUUAUUUUAUGUUACCAGUGUGGCUGUGUCUUACUCUGCUUGUAUGGUGGAAAUUCAUAUCCAUCUCUCCCUUCCACAAUAUUAGUACUUCCUCAGUCGUGACACCCUUGUGCACAAGUUGCAUGACAAGCAGCUGCAGAUUUUCAUACUUCCUUGCAUGCUUUGUGAAGCCAGACCACCUGCCACCAAUCCGCAGGACCGAACUCAAGAGAGACAAACUGCUGCCUGCAAGGGACGUGUAUGUGCGUUGAGUGGCAGAUAGAAUCAGACGGGAGCAUCCUCAACACCAACUGCUGAAGCCCUUCCUUGACCAAGUACUCCAGGGAUACAUCGCAUAUGGGGAAUACCUGCAGAGCAAGCUGCCACUGGAGAGCAUGACCCUGCAGUGCCUGUAUGCUGUUGACCCUAUUGCAAGGGGGCACUCAAAGGAUAAAGGGGGUAUUUAAAGGAUACAUUGUACAUAUUUAUAAUUCGAAAUUCGUCCCAGCCUUUAUACCACAGAUACUCUAGGGUCUGUAGCAUAUAACCGCAUUGUCUGAUUACAGUUUAAUUAAUUUUUCACAAGCUACCAGCUCUCGUUGUGAAGACUAGUCACCGCGCCAUUCGUUUCAUUGGGAUUCGGGACGUCUAUACUUUCAACAUAAAGGGUCCUAUUUUAACGGUCUGAAACACAAGUGAGAAGCGCCAAGCGCAAGUAGCUUUGUGGGCGGUUCUAUGGCAAUGUCGCUAUUUUACCGGCGCAAAUAUUACUCUUGCGCCAGGCGCAAAAAAGGGUUGGUCGGAAGUAGCCUAAUUACCCAUAGGUGUGGUUUGGGCGUAACGUGCAAUAAACCAAUGAGAGUCCCAGCUCCCAUCCCCUUUAAGAGCCACGAGCGGAUUUGAUUCUGACAAGUAGAUAUUUUGACAGCGCGUCUGCAGUCUCUGAUGAGACAGAUGCACAUGAAUUUCAAACUUCAAAUGGCUUAGUUUAUGGCCAAAUAAUACGGCCUAAUUCACACAUGGAAUAAG